UGGGGAAUAUUGCACAAUGGGCGCAAGCCUGAUGCAGCCAUGCCGCGUGUAUGAAGAAGGCCUUCGGGUUGUAAAGUACUUUCAGUCGGGAGGAAGGUGGUAAGGUUAAUAACCUUAUCAAUUGACGUUACCGACAGAAGAAGCACCGGCUAACUCCGUGCCAGCAGCCGCGGUAAUACGGAGGGUGCAAGCGUUAAUCGGAAUUACUGGGCGUAAAGCGCACGCAGGCGGUUGAUUGAGUCAGAUGUGAAAUCCCCGGGCUUAACCCGGGAAUUGCAUCUGGUACUGGUCAGCUAGAGGCUUGUAGAGGGGGGUAGAAUUCCAUGUGUAGCAGUGAAAUGCGUAGAGAUGUGGAGGAAUACCGGUGGCGAAGGCGGCCCCCUGGACAAAGACUGACGCUCAGGUGCGAAAGCGUGGGGGGCAAACAGG
rnacentral:rRNA from 1 species